rnacentral:tRNA from 1 species
UCCCUGAUGGUUCAGGGGCUAAAACUUUGCACUCCCAACACAGAGGGCCUGGGUUCAACCCCCAGGUCAGGGAA